rnacentral:rRNA from 1 species
CCGUGCCCAAGAGAUCGGGAUAACACCUGGAAACAGAUGCUAAUACCGGAUAACAACAGAUGAUGCCUAUCAACUGUUUAAAAGAUGGUUCUGCUAUCACUCUUGGAUGGACCUGCGGUGCAUUAGCUAGUUGGUAGGGUAACGGCCUACCAAGGCGAUGAUGCAUAGCCGAGUUGAGAGACUGAUCGGCCACAUUGGGACUGAGACACGGCCCAGACUCCUACGGGAGGCAGCAGCC